UACGUAGGGUGCGAGCGUUGUCCGGAAUUAUUGGGCGUAAAGGGCUCGUAGGCGGUUUGUCGCGUCGGGAGUGAAAACUCAGGGCUUAACCCUGAGCCUGCUUCCGAUACGGGCAGACUAGAGGUAUGCAGGGGAGAACGGAAUUCCUGGUGUAGCGGUGAAAUGCGUAGAGAUCCGGAGGAACACCGACGGCGCAGGCAGCGUCCUGGCCGCUUGCUGACACUGAGGCACGAAAGCUGGGGGAGCAAACAGG
rnacentral:rRNA from 1 species